GGCGAGACUUUGUCUCAAAAAAAAUAAAAAUAAAUUAAAAAAAAAUUGUAAAAACAUUCCAACAAAAUUUUUGCAUUUAAUCUGAACACACACACACACACAUGCACACACACACACACACAGAUAUUGUAGGUUUAGUUUCCAGAUCACCACAAUAAAUUGAAUAUUGCAAUAAAGUGAGGCACAUGAAUUUUUUUAUUUCCCAUUGCAUAUAAAAGUUAUGCUUGCACUACACUGCAGCCUAUUAAGUGUGCAAUAGCAUUAUGUCUAAAAAUAAUGCAUACAUUGUUUACAAAUAUCUUAUUGCUAAAAAAUGCUAACAAUCAUCUGAGCCUUCAGUGAGUCAUAGUCAUUUUGCUGGUGGAGGGUCUUGCCUCAAUACUGAUGGCUGCUGACUGAUCAGGGUGGUGGUUGCUGAAGGUUGGAAUGGUGGUGACAACUUCUUAAAAUAAGACAGUAAUAAAGUUUGCCACCCUCAUUGACUCUUUCUUCACAGAAAAUUUCUAUGUUAUUUGCAAUGCUGUUUGAUAGCAUUUUACCCACAGUAGAACUUCUCACAAAACUGGAGUCAAUCCUCUCAAAUCCAGCUACUGCUUUUUCAACUGAGUUUAUAUAAUAUUUUGAGUCCUUUGCUGUCAUCUCAACAGUGUUCACAGCAUCUUUGCCAGGAGUAGAUUCCAUUUCAAGAAACCACUUUCUUUGUUCAUUUACAAGAAGUAACUCCUCAUCCUUCAAAUUUGAUCAUGAGAUUAAAACAAUUCAGUCUCAUCUUCCGGCUCCAUUUCUCAUUCUGGUUCUCUUGUUAUUUCUUUCACAUCUGCAGUUACUUCCUCCACUGAAGUCUUGAACCCCUAAAAGGCAUCCAUGAGUACUGGAAUUAACUUCAUCUAAACUUCUGUUAAUGUUGAUAUUUUGAUAUUCUCCACGAAUCAUGAAUUUCUUUUUAAUAAACAAAUCUCUAUGCUACUAGGUACAAUAGCAUGGAAAUUGAGAGAACACCAAAGCGAGAAGAAAACUGGGAUAAAACUUAUGCAUCUGGUAAGUAUUUAAAAGGUCACAAGAAGUCAUAAUUCUUACUGUAACAAUUUUAAUGGAUAAUUUUAAAUGUCAGUUUAAAAAAAAUUAUUAGAAGUCUAAAGAUGCAAAUAAUUUUAAAUGAACCAAACUCCAGAGAGAAAUCAGCACUACCUAGAAGAGAAGAAACUGCUAGUUAAUUUUAUGCCUGCAGUUAUAUCCUCUGUGGACAAAGGAUAUAAUUUUCCAUAGACAAGGAAUGUUUAUAAUUUAAGGAGAAACUUUUAAUGGACACAUAUUGGGGGGCAAGAUAGAUUCGAUUCCAAAAAGUCCCAGAAAAAAAGUACAUCAUCAUCUGUUCGCCAAGUCUUUCACAGACAGACUUUAAAUACAUGGAAGCAUACUAAAUAUUGGAGCCAAACCAGAAGGCAAGGUAAGAACUCCUGAGUUGCAUAAUGCUGGACAGAUGGUGGCUGGAGAAUUCACCAGUAACCUCAAAAUCUGCCUGUAAAGCAUAAAAAGUUCUAGAGAUUCUCAUAAUUCUUAAAUACUAAGUCCUUCUGAAAUUAGGAGUCCAGAUCUCACCCCCAAAGGAUUUGAAGCCAGGGGUAAACUCAAACACAAGCUGCAACCCAUACCAGAUCUAGUUCAAUAAGAACUUAGAUCAGGUCUGGCAGAAGAAGGGGCUUUCUCUGUUCCAAAAUUAUUUUAUAUAUAAGAUUCAACAUACAAUAAAACAUAACAUUAUAUGAGAAACAAAACAAAAUGUAAAUAUCAGAAAACUAUGACCAAAAAAGGUUAUAUAGCAUAGAAUCAAAACUGAACCAAGCAUGAAUUUUAACAGGCAAACACAUUAAUAUAACUACUUUAAAGACACCUCAGAGAUGUUGCCUGCAUGACCUCCAAUGCACUCACAGAACAAGAGGCAAAGGGUUCGAUUCUCACUGGUUCAAAGUGCUUAAGCGCAAACUCUAAUCAAUUAUUAACUAAUUCCUCAGCUAUACUAACCAAGAGUAAUAUCUAAGCUUCUAGGUUUACAAAAAAAACAAAAAACAAACAAAAAAAAACAAGAAAAGAAAUAACUUAGCAGAGACAUGAGUGGCUGCAUAUUAAAUAGGAGACAGAAUUAGUCCAGGCAAGGGUAAAAAUAAAGAAAAAAAUUAAGUAACAACAAAAUAAUCUCAUUUGGGGAAUCAGAAUCUGUUAUCCAAAAUGUCAUGUCUUAUUUUCAACAGAAGAGAAGAAACAGGAAAGCACGCCUCAUUGACAUGGGGAAAAAAGCAGCAAGCAGAAACUAUCUGUGAGGGAUCUCAGAUGUUGGACUUAGUACACAAAGAGUUCAAAGCAUCCAUUAUAAAUAUAUAGAACUAAAGCAAAGUGUAUUUUUAACAAUUAAAAGUAAGUAUAAUGACAAUUACUUAUUAAAUAGAGAACAUUAGUGUAAACAUAGAAAGUAUAAUUACUAUUACAUAUGUGUACAUAUAUGAACACAUAUAUGAAUCCAAUGGAAAUUCAGUACAAUCAUUUAAAUGAAAAAGACACUAGAGGAGCUCAACAGCAGAUAUGAACCAUCAAAAAACAACAACAAAAACACACUGAACUUGAAGCUAGAUGAAUAGAGACUGUCGAGUCUGAAGAACAGAAAGAAAAUUUAAGAAAAUAAGCAGAGCUUUAGAGAUCUGUUGGAACAAUUAACAUAUUGAUAAAUACACAGUGGGAAUCUUAGAAAGAGAAGAAAGGAGGCCGGGCGCGGUGGCUCACGCCUGUUAUCCCAACACUUUGGGAGGCCGAGGCGGGCGGAUCACGAGGUCAGGAGAUCGAGACCAUCCUGGUUAACACGGUGAAGCCCCGUCUCUACUAAAAAUACAAAAAAUUAGCUGGGUGUGGCGGCGGGCACCUGCAGUCCCAGCUACUCAGGAGGCUGAGGCAGGAGAAUGGCGUGAACCCGGGAGGCAGAGCUUUCAGUGAGCCAAGAUCACGCCACUGCACUCCAGCCUGGGCGACACAGCGAGACUCCGUCUCAAAAAAAAAAAAAAAGCAAAAAAAAAAAAAGAGAAGAAAGGAGAAAGAAGGAAGGAAAGACAGACAGAGAAAUAAAACAAAUAGUUUUUUUAAAAGCUAAAACACUUCCUAAAUGUGAAGAAAAGCAUUAAUCUACACUUGUAAAAAGCUCAAGAGACUCCAAGUAGAAUAAUAGUCAGAGUCAAACAUUUCAAAUCUAAAGAUUAAGAAACAAUUCGGAAAGCACAAGAACAAGGCAACUGAAUAUGUACAAGAGAAUCAUAAUAAGAUUAAUAGGUGACUUCUCUUGAGAAACAAUGAGGAAAAUAGAAUGACAUAUUGAAGAGAAUGACCUAUUAAAAGAGCUGACAGGAAAAAACUGUCAAUCAAGAUUAUUGUAUUCAAUAAAACUAUCCUUUGAUGAUGAAUAGAAAUAAAGUUAUUUCCAGGUAAACAAAGAGUGCAUUGCUAACAGAUCUGUCUUAUAAGAAAUGCUAAAGAAAGACCUUCAAGUCAAAGGAAAUACAAGAGGGUAACUUGAGUCCACACAAAGAAUUACAUUUCACAGAUAAAGGUAAUUACCUAAGUAUAUUAUCUAUCUCUCUCUCUCUAUAUGUGUGUGUGUGUUUCCAAACUGAUUUUUUAAAAAUUACAUAAAACAAUAUUCAUAAACAUUGCUGUGAUGCACUUAAAACAUAUAUGUCAAUAAUACCACAAAGGUAGAGGGAGGAAAUGGAGCUAUAUAGAAGCAAAUUUUCAUAUUAUCAUGGAAUUAAGUUAUUAUUAAUCUGAAUUAGAUUAUAAUGAAUUAAGAUCUCUUGAGGAAACAUGAAGUAACUAAAAAAUGUAGUUUAAAGAAACCAACAAAGGAAUUAAAAUGAUAUGCGAGAAAAUAACACAAAAGAGAGGAGGAACAGAGAAACAAAAGAGACAUGGGAUAUAUAGAAAACAAAUAGAAAAAUGGUUGCAGUCAGUCAAACCAUAUCAAUAAUCACAUUAAAUGUAAAUAGAUUUUACGCUUAAUGGUGAAUGCUAUCUCCUUAAGAUCAGGAACAAGGCAAAGAUGAUCUCUGUCACCACACCUAUUCAAAAUAAUACUGGAAGUCCUAGCCAAUAUAAUAAGGCACAUAGCCAAUGAAAUAAGUCAAAUAAAAGUAAAAUUAAAGAAAGGGAAAAUAAAAGAAAUGAGCACACAAAUUGGAAAGGAAGCAAUAAAACCUUCUUUAUUUGCAAAUUACAUGAUUAUCUCUCUUGGAAACCAUAAAGAAUCUACACACAGACAAACAAACCAAGUUAAACUCCUAGAACUAACACGUGAGUAGCAAGGUCACAGGAUACAGAGUUAAAAUACAAAAGUCAAUUAUGUUCCUACAUACCAACAAGAAAAAACAACACAUCUUAAACUUUCACCAAAAUAUAAUGAAGCAUUUGUGUAUAAAUAUAACAAAAUGUGUGUAGGAUCUGUGUGCUCAAAAGUAUAAAACAUUGAAGGAAGAAUUCAAAGAUGAUCUAAACAAAUGAAGAGAGAUUUUGUGUUUAUGGAUUAGAAGGCUCCAUAUUAUGAAGAUGUCAGUUUUCCACAAUCUGACCUGUAAACUUUUUUGAUCAAAAUCCCAGCAAAAUAUUUGGAGAGAAUGUGGUUCUAAGAUUUAUACAGAAAGGCAAAGAAGUUAGAAGAGCUGAAAUCAUUCUGAGAAAGAUGAAUAAACUUAGAGGAGUUAAAUUAUCCAAUUUCAAAAUUGACCAUAAAUCUACAGUAAUCAAGACAGUGUAAUAUUAGCAAAAUAAGUACAUAGAUGAAUGGAAAAGAAUGGUGGUGGGUCCAAACAUACACACACACACACACACACACACACACAUACAUUUUCAGCUUAUUAACAGAGGCAAAGACAAUUCAAUGAAGAAAUAAUGGUCUUUCAAACAAACGGUGCUAGAACCAUUAGAUAUCCACAUGCAAAAAUAUAGACCUUGAUACAUACCUUACAUCUUAUACAAAAAUUCACCCAAAAUGGAUCGUAGACCUAAAUGCCAAACAUAAAACUGUAAACUUGGAGGAAAAAAAGCAUAAGAAAAAUUGCGUAACUUUGAGUUUGACAAUGAGUUUUUCAAUAUGAUAAAAGCUCUACCCACAAAAGAAAAUAUUACUAAAUUGCACUUAAACAAGAUUUUUGCUUUUUGAAAGACAUUGUUAAGAGAUAAAAAAAACAAGUUAGCUGGGUGCAGAGGCUCCUGUAAUCCCAGCAUUUUGGGAGGCCCAGGCAGGCAUAUCACUUGAGCCCAGGAGUUCAAGACCAGCUGGGGCAGCAUGGUAAAACCCCAUUUCUACAAAAAAAUACAAAAAUUAUCCGGGCAUGAUGGCACAUGCCUGUAGCCCCAGCUACUCGGGAAGCAGAGAUGGGGGGAUCACUUGAGCCCAGGAGGUUGGGGCUGUAGUGAACCAUGAACCCUCCACUGCACUCCAGCAUGGAUGACAAAGUGAGACUGUCUCAGAAAGAGACAAAAACAAAAUCAAAACCAAGCUACAGAUUAGAAGAAAACACUUGCAAAAAACAUGUCUAUAAAAAAGAACCUGUGCCCAGAAUAUAUGAAAAACUCUUAAAAAUUCAGUAAUUGCUAAACAAAUUAGAAAUGUGUCAACAGUCUGAAUAAACACUUAACAACAUAUGGAUAAGCAAAUGAAUAGAUGCUCAACAUCAUUUGUCAUUAGGGUAACACAAAACUACAAUGAAAUAUCACUACACACC
rnacentral:lncRNA from 10 species